rnacentral:misc_RNA from 1 species
GCAAACUUGGUCAUUUAGAGGAAGUAAAAGUCGUAACAAGGUUUCCGUAGGUGAACCUGCGGAAGGAUCAUUACCGAGUUAGGGUGCCGGCCUAAACCCCCGGCGCCCGACCUCCAACCCUAUGUCUACAUUACCACUGUUGCCUCGGCGGGCCGUCGAAAGCCUAGUGAUAGGCCCAGCCGUCGGCCCCUUAACAGGGGGCCCUCGAGCGCCCGUCGAAGGACCUUAUCAAACCAUUUUGAAACGAGCCUUCUGAGUAAAAUUAUAAUACUUCAAAACUUUCAACAACGGAUCUCUUGGUUCUGGCAUCGAUGAAGAACGCAGC